rnacentral:rRNA from 1 species
CCUACGGGAUGCAGCAGUGAGGAAUAUUGGUCAAUGGACGAGAGUCUGAACCAGCCAAGUAGCGUGAAGGAUGACUGCCCUAUGGGUUGUAAACUUCUUUUAUAUGGGAAUAAAAUGUUCCACGUGUGGGAUUUUGUAUGUACCAUAUGAAUAAGGAUCGGCUAACUCCGUGCCAGCAGCCGCGGUAAUACGGAGGAGCCGAGCGUUAUCCGGAUUUAUUGGGUUUAAAGGGAGCGUAGGUGGAUUGUUAAGUAAGUUGUGAAAGUUUGCGGCUCAACCGUAAAAUUGCAGUUGAAACUGGCAGUCGUGAGUACAGUAGAGGUGGGCGGAAUUCGUGGUGUAGCGGUGAAAUGCUUAGAUAUCACGAAGAACUCCGAUUGCGAAGGCAGCUCACUGGACUGCAACUGACACUGAGGCUCGAAAGUGUGGGUAUCAAACAGGAUUAGAUACCCCGGUAGUC